UACGAAGGGGGCUAGCGUUGUUCGGAAUUACUGGGCGUAAAGCGCACGUAGGCGGAUUGCUAAGUCAGGGGUGAAAUCCUGGAGCUCAACUCCAGAACUGCCUUUGAUACUGGCGAUCUUGAGUCCGGGAGAGGUGAGUGGAACUGCGAGUGUAGAGGUGAAAUUCGUAGAUAUUCGCAAGAACACCAGUGGCGAAGGCGGCUCACUGGCCCGGUACUGACGCUGAGGUGCGAAAGCGUGGGGAGCAAACAGG
rnacentral:rRNA from 1 species